GAUCCUGGCUCAGGACGAACGCUGGCGGCGUGCUUAACACAUGCAAGUCGAACGGGCCCGUCCUUGUUUUUGGGGGCGGGUUGAGUGGCGAACGGGUGAGUAUCACGUGAGUAACCUGCCCUCCUCUCCUGGAUAACCGCUUGAAAGGGCGGCUAAUACGGGGUGGUCCGGUUGGUCCGCAUGGGCCGGCUGGGAUAGUUUCAUCUUCGGGUGUUUCGGUGGGGGAUGGGCUCGCGGCCUAUCAGCUUGUUGGUGGGGUGAUGGCCUACCAAGGCGGUGACGGGUAGCCGGCCUGAGAGGGUGGGCGGCCACACUGGGACUGAGACACGGCCCAGACUCCUGCGGGAGGCAGCAGUGGGGGGUAUUGCACAAUGGGCGGAAGCCUGAUGCAGCGACGUCGCGUGAGGGAUGGAGGCCUUCGGGUUGUGAACCUCUGUUUCCGGUGGUGAAGGCCCUGCCCUUGGUGGUGGGGUUGACGGUAGCCGGGUAUGAAGCGCCGGCUAACUACGUGCCAGCAGCCGCGGUAAUACGUAGGGCGCGAGCGUUGUCCGGAAUUAUUGGGCGUAAAGGGCUUGUAGGCGGCCGGCCGCGUCCGUCGUGAAAUCCUCCGGCUCAACCGGGGGCUUGCGGUGGGUACGGGUCGGCUGGAGUGCGGCAGGGGAGGCUGGAACUCCUGGUGUAGCGGUGGAAUGCGCAGAUAUCAGGAGGAACACCGGUGGCGAAGGCGGGUCUCUGGGCCGUUACUGACGCUGAGGAGCGAAAGCGUGGGGAGCGAACAGGAUUAGAUACCCUGGUAGUCCACGCCGUAAACGUUGGGCACUAGGUGUGGGGCGUUCCCGUUCGCGGGGGCUCCGCGCCGUAGCUAACGCAUUAAGUGCCCCGCCUGGGGAGUACGGCCGCAAGGCUAAAACUCAAAGGAAUUGACGGGGGC
rnacentral:rRNA from 1 species